rnacentral:lncRNA from 1 species
UUCCCCUUUCGCCAUGAUUUUAAGUUUCCUGAGGCCUCCCCAGCCAUGCAGAACUGCUCACAGAAGAGACUUGCCUUGUCUCAAAUCAGACUUUGGACUUGGACUUUUGGGUUAAUGCUGGAAUGAGUUAAGACUUUGGGGGACUGUUGGAAACACAUGUUUGUGUUUUGACAUGUGAAAAUAUGAUAUUUGGGAGGGGCCGGGGUGGAAUGAUAUAAUUUGACUGUGUCUCCACCCAAAUCUCUUCUUGAAUUGUAGUUCUCAUAAUCCUCACAUGUGGUGGGAGGGACCCGGUGCAAGGUAAUUGAAUCAUAGGUGCAGUUUCCCUCAUGCUAUUUUCGUGAUAGUGAGUAAGUUUUCACCAGAUAUGAUGGUUUUAUAAGGGGUUUCCCCCUUUGCUAGGCUCUCAUUCUUCUCUCUUCUGCUGCCAUAUGAAGACGGAUGUGUUUGCUUUCCCUUCCAUCAUAAUUGUAAGUUUCCUGAGGCCUUCUUAGCAAUGCAGAACUGUGAGUCAAUUAAACCUCUUUGCUUUAUAAAUUACCUAGUCUCAGGUAUGCCCUUAUAGCAGCAUGAGAAC